GCAGAAAGGAUUUGGUCUGAGACUGAGUUAGGGCGGGGAGGGAGAGUGGAGAGACCCGGCUGGAGGAGGCUUCCUUCGGGUCCUCUUUCUGCCGGCCCCACCGCCCCUCACCUGCGUGCGAGGGGCGACCUCGAGGCGGUAGGGGGCGCCGCCACCUCGGGCCAGCACCACCUGCGGGGCCAGGACCUCCUUCUCCGCCUGCAACCGGUGCCCGGCGGCCGCGGUCUGGGCCUUGUCCAGCAGCACGAGGUGGCGCCCUCGCACCCAAAGCCCUGACCCCUCCUCCAGCAACGGCUCCCCUACUCCGCGGGCAUCGUCUCUCAGCAGCCUUCUGUGCACCUGCGGGGAGAGUGGCCAGGAGAGGGGGACAUGGGUUCGAGCCCUGGUCCAGGAAGAUCCCACAUGCCACAGAGCAACUAAGCCUGUGUGCCACAACUACUGAGCCUGCAUUCUAGAGCCCGCAAGCCACAACUACUGAAGCCCGCGUGCCUAGAGUCCAUGCUCCACAACAAGAGAAGCUGCCGCAAUGAGAAGCCUGCGCGCCGUAAUGAAGAGUAGCCCCCCCGCUCUCCGCAACUAGAGAAAAAGCCCACACACAGCAACAAAGACCCAACGCAGCCAAAAAAUUUUUUUAAAUU